CCGGCUCCGGUUCACCCCUCCCACGGGGACCCGGCGCC
rfam:Pseudonocardia sp. 73-21 SCNpilot_cont_1000_p_scaffold_264, whole genome shotgun sequence.